GGCUACGGCUCAACCGUAGUAGGCUCGUGAAACUGGGAGACUUGAGGGCAGGAGAGGAGAGUGGAAUUCCUAGUGUAGCGGUGAAAUGCGUAGAUAUUAGGAGGAACACCAGUUGCGAAGGCGGCUCGCUGGACUGUAACUGACGCUGAGGCACGAAAGCGUGGGGAGCAAACAGGAUUAGAUACCCUGGUAGUCCACGCUGUAAACGAUGAGUACUAGGUGUCGGGGGUUACCCCC
rnacentral:rRNA from 1 species